GACGAACGCUGGCGGCGUGCUUAACACAUGCAAGUCGAACGGAAAGGCCCUGCUUUUGUGGGGUUCUCGAGUGGCGAACGGGUGAGUAACACGUGAGUAACCUGCCCUUGACUUUCGGAUAACUUCACGAAACUGGGGCUAAUAUCGGAUAUGAGCUCCUGCUCCAUGGUGGGCGUUGGAAAGUUUCGGCGGUUGGGGAUCGACUCGCUGCUUAUCAGCUUGUUGGUGGGGUAGUGGCUUACCAGGGCUUUGACGGGUAGCCGGCCUGAGAGGGGGACCGGCGACAUUGGGACUGAGAGACGGAGCAGAAGCGUACGGGAGGCAGCAGGGGGGAAUAUGACAGAGUGGGGGGAAGCCUGAUGCAGCAACGCUGGGAGCGGGAUGACGUGUUUCGGGGGGUAAACAGAUGUGGCAUGUGACGAAGCGUGCGUGACGGUAAUGAGUAAAGAAGCACCGGCUAACUACGUG
rnacentral:rRNA from 1 species